GACACCUCCUGCCCCCAUGACUGGCUCCGCAAUGAAAGCAGCUAUUGUUUCAGGUCCCUCUUUGAGUAUGAGAUUUUCCAAAUUAUUAGCCAAUCUUGUCGAGAACUCCUCUUCCGUCUCACCUGGCUGAUGAAAGCGCCAAAAAUGAGGGCAGUCAGUAUGCAGAACAAACGGAGCUGGUAGAUCGAAUUGCUGAUGUAGUGCAGGAAGACCAGAGAGACUAGCGGAAAUGAGAGUUGAUCCGUGGUAUGAUUUUGUUCGAGCAAUAAAUUUCUUUUUGUCUGGCCUCCCGAGUGCAUUGUUGUAAUACCAUACCAGUUUCACCUGUGUGUCAUUGGCUUCUGAUCCGCUGUUUGUGAAAAAAGCUUUCGCCAUUUUAUUUGCAGUAAAAAGAUCUAGGAGCUCCUUCGCGAGAUCCAAAGAAGGUUUUGUGCUACGAUUCCAAAAUGAAUGGUAAAAGGGCAACUCGUUGAGUUGUUUAGUUGCGGCUGCAACAAGACGAGGCUCAUUUCCACCCAAAGAUGUGCACCACAAACCAGCUAGAGCAUCGAGGUACUUCUUCCCGUUAACAUCAUAGACAUACGAACCCUCGGAUUUUUGUAUGACUAAAGGUUCCAAAUCAGUAGAAUGCCAUCCGGCAGUGAAGGGUGCCAACAUAUCA
rnacentral:misc_RNA from 1 species